AGAGUUUGAUCAUGGCUCAGGACGAACGCUGGCGGCGUGCCUAACACAUGCAAGUCGAGCGGAGACAGUGAGUAGCUUGCUAUGAGCUGUUUUAGCGGCGGACGGGUGAGUAACGCGUGAGCAACCUUUCCCAGACAGGGGAAUAACACACCGAAAGGUGUACCUAAUACCGCAUAAGACCACGGGAUCACAUGGUUCCUGGGGUAAAAAGAUUUUAUCGGUUUUGGGGUGGGCUCGCGGUCCGAUUAGGUAGUUGGUGAGGUAACCGG
rnacentral:rRNA from 1 species